rnacentral:rRNA from 1 species
UACGGGGGGGGCAAGCGUUGUUCGGAAUUACUGGGCGUAAAGGGCUCGUAGGCGGCCAACUAAGUCCGACGUGAAAUCCCCAGGCUUAACCUGGGAACUGCGUCGGAUACUGGAUGGCUUGAAUUCGGGAGAGGGAUGCGGAAUUCCAGGUGUAGCGGUGAAAUGCGUAGAUAUCUGGAGGAACACCGGUGGCGAAGGCGGCAUCCUGGACCAACACUGACGCUGAGUGAGCGAAAGCCAGGGGAGCAAACGGG